rnacentral:rRNA from 1 species
UGUCGUCAGCUCGUGUCGUGAGAUGUUGGGUUAAGUCCCGCAACGAGCGCAACCCUUAUUCCUAGUUGCCAGCACUUCAGGUGGGAACUCUAGGGAGACUGCCGGUGACAAACCGGAGGAAGGUGGGGAUGACGUCAAGUCAUCAUGCCCCUUAUGACCUGGGCUACGCACGUGCUACAAUGGUCGGUACAACGUGUUGCGAACUCGCGAGGGCAAGCAAAUCACUUAAAACCGAUCUCAGUUCGGAUUGCAGGCUGCAACUCGCCUGCAUGAAGCUGGAAUCGCUAGUAAUCGCGGAUCAGCAUGCCGCGGUGAAUACGUUCCCGGG